rnacentral:misc_RNA from 1 species
CAUUAUUAAAAAGAUGCUUCGACACCAUUCUGGUCAUUUCAUUCAAAAGAUGAAUGAAGAAUAGAAUAUGCCACACAUUUCCAGCUGUGUCCAAACUCCAAAGUAUGGCCAGCCUAAUGCCUUCACCCUGACACUCACAUGGGCCCAGUCACUAACCCCACCUAAACCUCACUCCUUAACCCUAGUUGCUCCCUUAACCAUUCCACUCCUCUCCCAUCCAUUCCUUUUAUCUCAUCUUCCUUCGUUGUCUUUCGCACUCUGCGGCCUCUGCUCACUACUUCUCUUUGAAACCAAUAUCGGUUAACACCCUAAAUCUGCCAUGGGAGCGUUACAUUACCUCUUCCUCUUUCUUACCCUUUCUGCACUCUCCACCACCACAUUAGCCCAUAACAUCACCGACAUUCUCUCUGGCCUGCCUGACUACUCCGAGUUCAACAAAUAUCUCACCCAAACAAAGCUUGCUGAUGAAAUCAACAGUCGGGAGACUAUCACCGUACUCGCCCUCAACAAUGCGGCUAUGUCCGCCCUUGCUGGCAAACAUCCCUUAUCCGUUAUUAAAAACGCUCUUAGCCUUCUUGUUGUGCUCGAUUACUAUGAUCCCACAAAACUCCACCAGAUCUCUAAUGGCAGUACCCUGUCCACCACCCUUUACCAAACUACAGGAAAUGCCCCUGGCAAUUUAGGCUUUGUCAACAUCACUGACCUGCAGGGAGGUAAAGUGGGGUUUGGCUCCGCUGCCCCUGGCUCCAAGCUCGAC